UACGUAGGUCCCGAGCGUUGUCCGGAUUUAUUGGGCGUAAAGCGAGCGCUGGUGGUUUAUUAAGUCUGGUGUAAAAGGCAGUGGCUCAACCAUUGUAUGCAUUGGAAACUGGUAGACUUGAGUGCAGGAGAGGAGAGUGGAAUUCCAUGUGUAGCGGUGAAAUGCGUAGAUAUAUGGAGGAACACCGGUGGCGAAAGCGGCUCUCUGGCCUGUAACUGACACUGAGGCUCGAAAGCGUGGGGAGCAAAUAGG
rnacentral:rRNA from 1 species